AUGUUUUAUUUUUGUGUGUGUGUGUUUUCUUUGUUACCUAGUACACCAGCAUCUGUAGGACACAUACAUGUGCUGUUUUUGUAAAUAUGUGUUUGUGAUGCGUGGAACUAGUGAUGGUAAGUGAGCCUAGCAUGAUUCACUUUCAACCCAGCUACAGGCUCUCAUGUGGCUAAAUGGAGGCUUGACAGUUGUGUGAGAUACCGAUAGUGUAUAGAGAAAGACGUGAAAAUGUCAUUGCUAUUUGACAUGGCAAGCAUUGAGAUUCACUGAACUAUUAUGCCUCAAUUGUGUAAAAUAAAGAAUAAAACCACAGCACAUGAAGCACAGUGCAAGUGAAUAAUCAUUUUUCCACUUGUUUUCAUUCAUUUCUGUUUAGUGCAAUGUUUACACAGAGAUGAGUAAAGCAGUGAAAAUACAAACGGAAAAAUACGACGCUUUUAUAGCACGACAUGCAGUGGUGCCAAAAUGGUGUCUUGCCGUCAGUGCAAAACAGAGUAUACAUUCCAUAGUUACACAUAUUUUUACAAGGUAGUUCAAGCAAUCAGCAAUUAUAUGACAACAGGUCCUCACAGAACAAACAUUAACAAGGAGAAAGAAUAAAACUGUAUACACGCAGGCAAACAUCUGCCUGCCAGCAGACUGAUCGUAAAGAAACAUCUCCACAUAUGUGGCUGGGGAGGCGUGCAACGGAACAUUGUGUGUUACACAAAUGCGUGCGUAAUGAGUGUGACAACGUUCAUCAUUGUGGCGUGAUGAAAUGAUCAACUUUGCAAGUGCUGCCUGGAAAGUGCUUCGUGCGACAGUGUAGGCCGCCCUGCAUUUGUGCUUUCGUUGUCAUUGAAUCAACUUACUACCCUUCCCCCCCAACCACCCCACCAUCCAAGGCUGGUCUGGACCACUCGUUUAAAUAGCUUGAUUGCGCAAUAUGUGCUGUUGCACAUCACAUCAGUGGUGUCCACUUAAAGACGAAAAUUUACAACUGGUACCUACUAGUUUAUGUGGUUGAGCAGGUCCUU
rnacentral:lncRNA from 1 species